rnacentral:lncRNA from 1 species
UUCUUGAUGUCACUUGCUGCAGGAGGCCCUGGGCUCAGGCUUCUUCACCUCAGCAAGUUAAUUGGUCAAAAGGUAUUUUAUUUUAGUCCAAAAAAUAUAGCCAUAAAAAGAAAUAUGAAGAUAUAUUAAAGCAUGGGUAUUAAUAUAUUUUUCAACUUGAGACAUGCCCUUGUUCCAUGAUUGCUAUCAACAGGUGACAGGACCAUAAUAUGUCCUAGAGAAUCACAUAUGGAAUACUCUAAUAUAGAGAUUAGAAAUCUUAAAGAGACACCAUGCUGCCUCUGAAUAAGCCAUAUAUUAAUUCUGAUUUGGCCAGCUUCCACUUUAACACUCUAUCCAGAAGACUUCAUUUUGCUCACUAUGCAAUCCUUCAAUAAGCAGCUAUUUGCCUGGUACUGUGCUCGAUAUCUGAGGUGUAGAUUGCUGGAAUCAGAGUUGAAAGACUGGCAAGACAAUCAAGGAUCAAGUUGCCUGGGCAUGAACGUGAGGAGGGUAAAACGCAUGCUAAUGGUGACACACCUAGCUCAGAG